GACGAACGCUGGCGGCGUGCUUAACACAUGCAAGUCGAACGGAAAGGCCUCUUUCGGGGGGUACUCGAGUGGCGAACGGGUGAGUAACACGUGGGUAACCUGCCCUUGACUUUGGGAUAACUUCAGGAAACUGGGGCUAAUACCGGAUAGGAGCUCCUGCUGCAUGGUGGGGGUUGGAAAGUUUCGGCGGUUGGGGAUGGACUCGCGGCUUAUCAGCUUGUUGGUGGGGUAGUGGCUUACCAAGGCUUUGACGGGUAGCCGGCCUGAGAGGGUGACCGGCCACAUUGGGACUGAGAUACGGCCCAGACUCCUACGGGAGGCAGCAGUGGGGAAUAUUGCACAAUGGGUGGAAGCCUGAUGCAGCAACGCCGUGUGCGGGAUGGCGGCCUUCGGGUUGUAAACCGCUUUCGCUCAUGACGAAGCUUUGUGUGACGGUAGUGGGUAAAGAAGCACCGGCUAACUACGUG
rnacentral:rRNA from 1 species